rnacentral:rRNA from 1 species
UACGGAGGAUGCAAGCGUUAUCCGGAUUUAUUGGGUUUAAAGGGUGCGUAGGCUGUCCGUCAAGUCAGGGGUGAAAUGCCACAGCUUAACUGUGGAACUGCCUUUGAUACUGGCGGGCUGGAAUACGGAUGCCGUGGGAGGAAUGAGUAGUGUAGCGGUGAAAUGCAUAGAUAUUACUCAGAACACCGAUUGCGAAGGCAUCUCACGAAUCCGUCAUUGACGCUGAGGCACGAAAGCGUGGGGAU